GGCAGCCGGAUAGCUGCGUCAUGGAAGGUAAAAUCCAAUGAUGAGGAAAGUCCGGGCUUCACGGAAACAAGAUACCGGAUAACGUCCGGCUGGAGAAAUCCACGGGAAAGUGCCGCAGAAAAUUACCGCCGAUUUAUAUGUCGGUAAGGUUGAAAAGGCGAGGUAAGAGCUCACCGCGCGGGCAGUAAUGUUCGCGGCUUUAGGUAAACCCUAUCUGAUGUAAGACCAAAUUAGGGGACGCCGUUAAAAGCGUAAGGAGUGUUUCCGAUCCGCCCCAGAGGUAGGUCGCACCAGCCAAGCGGUGACGUUUGGCGCAGAUGAAUAGCUAUCAAGCAAAAUCUUUGUCGGUAACGAUAAAGCAAAUUGUGAACAGAACUCGGCUUAUAGGCUGCCUA
rnacentral:RNase_P_RNA from 1 species